AGCCCUGGACGCUGAUUCACGCUGCUGGCCGGGGAGUUAUAGCAGAAGGAGGAGAGCCCAGACAGAAAGCAGAGCGUACAGAAAUCCAAGAAAGUGGAUCAGAACUGUCAGAGCCUGGGCUGAUCCCGAUUUUCCAAGGAAGCAGUAUCUAUGUCAUCCUAUUACAAUGGCAAAAUACAACUAAUUGUUCAGAUGAUCUAGGAGCGAAUCCGAUGCUAUGAAACAUGUCUACCGACAGCCGGGAAACAACCACAGCUGACAGAACCUACUGUUCCACUGUUUUCAAGGAUGAGGAGUGGCCCAAUUUGGGUGAAAAAUGCUCACACCAAGGCCAACAGACAGGCCAGCAGCAGCAGGCUUCCCAGGUGAAGUCCCAGCUGGCCAAUGGCCCAAGACCAGCCUUCUCCAGGCUGCAGUGUUGUGGUGUCCAACUGGCAUCAUUUUUGUGGCGUCGAGCUCAUUUCAUCUUUAAGCCCAGCCUGCUUUGAUGUGUUCAGAUGAAAUGCGGAGAAUUUUUAGAGCAGAGAAAGCAAUGAAGAGUCUGGCUCCCCAAUCUGUCCAUCUGGAUAGACACACUUUGAAUCCAGAGAACUUCUGGCCCCUUCACAGUUGAGAACUUCAUGUGCCCUGGUAUUAGCAAGAGAGACUAAACUAUUUAUCAUAGGUUAUUUGGCCCGGCGGGAUGAAAAAGAUUGUGUUCAAGUAGGAAAAAAAUAAUAGCUUUCUUUUACAGCAGGAAGUAUGUUUUGUAGAAGAUAUACCUAUAGGUGGAAACGUUAAUCCUGAGGAUAUUAAAGAUGCUUCUAAGGAAGGCUUUCAUCCAUCCAUUCACUCAUUCGUCACUCACUCAACUCAUCCAUUCAUGCAACAAUUAUUAAUGCAAGCUGUGUGCAUAAGUCCUUAAAGCAGAAAUUCUCAAAGCGUGGACCCAGAUUCAGCAUCGUUGGCAUCAUCUGAGAACUUGUUAGAAAUGCAAAUUCUCAUUAAAAAAAAAACUGCUUCA